GCUGACCAGCAAUGGUCACAGGCGUUCGAACUUUUGUAAAUUUGGUCGACUAGAGGAAGAAGAAGUCGUAACAAGGUUUCCGUAGGUGAACCUGCGGAAGGAUCAUUAGCGUUAUGGGAUUUUGUAAUCCUUUGGUUAAAUGUGGAAUUUGAACAAGUGACUUGGUAAUCUUUACGAAUUGGAAACGUUUGGCUUAUGGAUACAUUUAUAAAAAAUACAACUCUUAGCAAUGGAUAUUCUUGGUUCCCACAACGAUGAAGAACGCAGCGAAAUGCGAUACGUAAAUGCGAAUUGCAGGACUCAGUGAAUCAUCGAAUCUUUGAACGCAUGUUGCGCUUUCGAGAGCCCUCGGAAGCAUGCCUCUCUGAGUAUCGGUUCCUAUAUCACAUCUUGAUGUGGACAAUGAGAGUCGAUUCGUUCGUCUCUUGAAAUCAUGUCGGCACCGAAAGUCCAUCGGAUUCUUGGAACGAUAAUCCGCCAUGGCGCCCGAACCAUACAAGAUCUCAGAUGAGGUAAGAUUACCCGCUGAAUUUAAGCAUAUCAAUAAGCGGAGGA
rnacentral:rRNA from 1 species